AUAACACACACACACAGACACACAUAUAUAAAUAUAUACAUCCUUCUAUAUACAUACGACAUAUGAAAAUUUAGACAAUCAAAGACUGUGACGUAACGCGUCCGGUCGCGUUCGUCACAAGGGCGUAAGCUCGACCGAGGGGGUCGAUUUGGGGCUCCUCCUCGCUGAGACGAGGGGGACGUGACUUUGUUUUACGUUUAUUUCUUUCUUUUCUAGUUUCCGCGUUACCGUAUCAGAUUAAUUAGGGUAUUUAGGACUAAGGCGCCGAGUGAAGGCUUAAUCUUAUUGUACCACGAACGGAGGAGGAGCAGCCAUCGGGGGAAAAAGUAUCGCGAGCAGUCGACAGUAGGAGAGGUGCCCCGCGCAGAGUUUCCCCGCCGAGCCGUGCACCGAGCCCGGCUGAUUAUUACCGCCCUGAGCCGCCUGGAUACCGCCGCCCUGAGGAUACCGUAGCAAAAACGAUACCGCAUAGCAGCCGGAAAGAUUCAUGAGAGGAAUCACGCCGAGGGCACGCCACCGGGCUGCGGACCGGGGGAGUUACCGUCAAAUUGUAAACGGCCCUCCACGCAGAUCGGUUCGGCCACGGCAUGGCCAGCCGGGCCAACCGAAAAUGGCAGAGCCAUAACACUCUCCCCGGCGGAAGUCGUCACGCACGGACCACGAGGCAAGUGGAUAGGCGAUGCGGCGCAGCAUGGGAUCGAGGCGUGCGGAUCGACCGAAAAUCGAAGCACGCGCAUGCGCGGCGGCUCGAGCCGGCCGGCGCGGGACCGGGGCUCCUCACUGUUCGGCAAGCCGUGACUGUGCGUACUUGGCAGAGGACGAGCCCGAGAUACCGAAAUCGUUACCGAAGACUUCAGGGACCAGGACUCCGUUCAUUAUUGUAAGGCCAGCACUCGGCAGCCAUCGAUUAAGUAAGAUUCGGAAAAGGCGGUCAACCCUCGUGCGGGACCGGAUACCGGAUACCGUUUCCGCUGGUGAUUGCGGCGAUCCGAAUCCGAUACAGUUAGUGAUAUUUGUUGUGUACGUAACUCGAAGUAAAGAGUAGAGUUUUGGGCCGCACGAGGGCUCGGACCGACCGGCCCCGAAGAAUUGAUACCGCGAGUACGUCCCUCUCGGACUACGCCGGAGCCGACAGUCAUAGGAUUAGAAUCAUUGUUACCGCGACUUGUUUCCGCCAUUAUUGAUUUUGUCUUUGUGCGAGCGGAGAGCCUCGCCGGCCUCCCGCCGCGUAUUAUCAAUUUUGUCUUCUCCACCUUGUGGUGUCUCUAAUGAGUUUUUGUCUCUAUCACAGUAAAAUUCGUGCAUUAAUUGUAUACAGACGCAUUGAGUAAGCUCCUUGCAGCCUUGUUACCGUUUUCAGUAGAGAAAUAUAAAAUAUUCUUUUGUUGUUUAAUCAGUGAGUACCGAAUCUUUAUACGACCUGCCUCGAUCCGACAUCUCCACGCCUUCCGUCUCAAAAAGAACCACGCCACUCUAUCGUCUCGCGAGAAAGAGCUACCGGCACUUGUAACGCUUUCCAGUUGGUUACCGUAUUAUAGCUGAUUAUUGUGUGGCGCGAGAAGUCGCGCCUGGCGCCCAACAAUUUAGCGUAUUGGGAAGUUACCGUUCUUGCAAGCUACCGCUAUCGUAUCAAGGGCAACCUCGAUCGAUAUUGGGGGAUACCGUAUACAAGAUACCGCUAUCGUGUCGAGAGCCAUCUCGCCCGAUAUUUGGGGGAUACCGUCUAUGAGUUACCGUUCUCGCUUCGAGCGUAAGCCUCGAGCGAGUGGGGGAUACCGUAUGCAAGCUGCUGAUACCGUAUCGAGAGCAUUCUCGAGAAAGAUUGAGACUACCGUUCUAAUAACUAUCGCAUCUAACUGGAAGAGCGUUACUCGUUACCGCAUAUAUAGAAAUUCCCGUUUAAUUGAGCGUAGCCCCCUCGGACCUGGCGUUCCCGAGGGAAAGCUACGUUGCAAGACAUUAUUUUUUCCAUAAAUUAGUAUGUAGAAAUAUAAUAUGUAUAUAUGUAUACGUAUUUCUUUUUUUUAGAAGAGAACCUUCAAAUCAUUGUGGCUAUUUUUCGAUUAUCUGUUGAAAGAGAAGAAAAAAGAAAGAGAAAAAGAGAAUAAUAAGCACAGCCAUAAAAAACCUUUUUUUUUUUAAAUAUAUAGCAACAAAAAAUUGACAAAUUACAAACAGAAGUUGACAAAAGUAAUAUAGAGAAUAAAGCUCUACAGGAAAUUACAAAGCAUGCAGUAUUAGGUAGUUAUAUAGUAACUAAUGCUUGUUGCUGCAGUUAUAAAUAUUUAGAGUCUACGUAUAAAACAAUAUAAAAUUAUAAGUUGAACAAUUACAAAAAUUUGAUCUAUCUGGCAAAAGUAAUAAUAUAAGAAUACCUUUGUUUCUCUGAAAAAUGAUUUAGCAAAGUGCCAUCAAAGUUUGUGAGGAAUUCAAGAAGCUACGCAUAUAUCAAACCAAUAUAUCAUUGUUAGACAUUUAGGAAGACAAAAAUUUGGUUUAUUUACUACAUUAUUUACUACCGCAUUUCACUCUUUAAAUCUUAAUCAGUGGAUAUUCACUGAUUCGCAGUGGCAUACUUAUAACUGUGAUAAUCAGUGAAUAUUCACUGACGCAGCCUAAAUAAAAUGCUUAAUACUACUAAAUGCGUGAUAUCCGAACAAAAUUACCUUUCUUAAAAAAAGGUAAAAAAAGGCGCCAAAUGUGGGUAUGUGCGUCCUUAAGAAAAAAAAUAUUAUAUUAGAUAAAUUGUCUUACUGUCCUAUUGUUCUAUUGUCUUUUCUACACAAAUAACGAUAUCAAGUAAAUGCGCCAAUUAUAAAAAUAUUUGUACAAAAUUUAUUUAUUAAUUAUAACUUUUUAUUAAAAUAUUUAAUAAUAAACGGGCUUGAUGAUCAAAUAAUUAAAUGAUUAAAAUCAACCAACGGGAUUACAGUAAAGCAAAAGCUUGGUACAACGUACAGUUCUAUCUUGUUACUAUACUUAUACAAUAACGCUAUCUAUAAUAGCAAAAUUAAUUACCUAAAAGAAUUCUACGUCGUCAAAUUAACAGAUAUUCUUUACAUAUAUUACAUAAAACAAAAUAUAUCUUGUAAAUGUACUCCGAAACGUUCAAAACACAUAACCAACUAUCUGUUCUGCUUUGGCAUCGCAUGACCCAAUUCUGUAUGUAAUCGUGCCAGUCAAUCGCCGAGAGGCUUGUCAUAUGACUAGUUGUCGCCUCUAUCUCCUCGAGACUCUCUAGCGGGAUUGCACCUCAUGAUCAUCAUACCUCUCGUGAACACCAGUCACGAAAGUACACUUCUCGCGAUUGUCAGUUGCGGAAUCGCACUUCUCGUGAUCAUCGGUCGCGAGAAUGCAGCUCUCACGAACGACGGUCAAAUUGUUUUCAAUUACUCAAGAUACACUGUAAUAAGUUCAUUAACGUUUGUUAACGAAAGCGAGCAAAAUGUUCAAAAUUGCCACUAUUGUGGAAACGUAAAGUGUGAUUUUCACAUUCCUGUCUCUCACUUGAGUAUAUCCCAGGCGACUCCUGUAUAUUAGAAGAUUAUACAGAGAUAGCCAGGUGCGAUUCCUAAACUGAUCAUCAGAGAUGCGAUCUUGUGACUGACGAUCACGAAAAGUGCGAUCUCGCGGCCGACGUUCGCAAAAAGUAUGAUUCCACGACCGACGAUGACGAGAAGUGCGGUUCCGCGAACGACAUUUAAUUUUUUCGCCAAUGUUGGCCUAAUAAUAUGUUAUCUAUUCCGAAAUAAGCUGUAAUUAUAUUCUUAUCUAGAUAAUAAUAUGAUUAUAAAUAAAUAAUGUAUUACAACAAUAA
rnacentral:misc_RNA from 1 species